GGUGAAGCGGAUACAGCGAGUGGAUGCAGCCAGAGAGAAAACAAAAGGUCAUACAAAGACCUUCUGAUAGAUGAAGAGGAAGCCGAGUCAGAUGCGGAAGAACAAAUCACCAAAAGGCCUCACACGGAACCAAAUGGCUCCGCAGACAAGAAGAUGAAACAUACAGAUGACACAACAACUUACCCUGAACUUCAUGGAGCAGAGUCCUCUGGUUUCAUCCCUGCAUAUCCAGUUUGUGUGUCCCAACACAUAUGGACAAUGAAAGGAGAA